rfam:TPA: Bos taurus chromosome 13, whole genome shotgun sequence.
UCCCUGGUGGUCUAGUGGUUAGGAUUCAGUGCUUUUAUUAUGGAGGCCUGGGUUAAAUCCCUGGUCGGGGAA